AUUGAACGCUGGCGGCAGGCCUAACACAUGCAAGUCGAACGGAGCGGCGGACGGGUGAGUAAUGCCUAGGAAUCUGCCUGGUAGUGGGGGAUAACGUCCGGAAACGGGCGCUAAUACCGCAUACUAUCAGAUGAACCUGGGUCGGAUUAGCUAGUUGGUGGGGUAAAGGCCUACCAAGGCGACGAUCCGUAACUGGUCUGAGAGGAUUAUCAGUCACACUGGAACUGAGACACGGGCCAGAAUCCUACGUGAGGCAGCAGUGGGGAAUAUUGGACCAUGGGCGAAAUCCUGAUCCAGCAAUGCCGCGUGGGUGAAGAAGGUCUUCGGAUUGUAAAGCUCUUUAAGUUGGGAGGCGUUACCAACAGAAUAAGCACCGGCUAACUGCGUGCCAGCAGCCGCGGUGAUAC
rnacentral:rRNA from 1 species